AAAAUUUUACCUAAUUUUACUAUUAAAAGUUGGCAUAGUUAACAGAAUAACUCGAUAAUUACAAAUGGUGUGCCACAUAUACCUCAUUUUAACGUAUAAUAAUCAGUUUUUAAUCGUAAAAAUAAUUGAAGUUAU
rnacentral:pre_miRNA from 1 species